rnacentral:lncRNA from 1 species
UAUAUAGAGAGAUUAUCUUUCCAUUAGGUUGAGCGAUCUGAUCCGGCAAAUGUUUUAAAUGCUACACUCAUGAACUUAUCAUUCAUCAACUUUGUCUUGCUCACCAUGCUUAAGGUUAGAGAAGAACAAAUACACUUUUGGUUCUGUUGGUGUUUUCCACCAACAGGGCCCAUGCACUUGAUCUCUGCCUUGUCUCUAUGAGCAGGUACACUACGAGCACAAACACACUGAGCAAGAUACUGCCAAUGUCGCACUUCGAACUGCUGGGCAAACAAAGAACAUGGGUGACACCGUAUCAAGAGGUGCAGGCCUCAAGGUCCACACCUGAAUCAAAAGACGCACCUAAGAAUGAACACGGUGAGAAGUCUUGUCUAGAAGACUUAAAACAUUGGAUCCUUGCCGGACGGUAAAAUCGGUAUUUAUCCAUAUUUAUCUUUUCUGCAUUCCUUUUCCUUUUUAUUCCAUCACUUGCAUUAGCAUAUUUACUUUUCUACAUUGGCACUAGAAAAGAAAACAAAAAAAUAUUUGUUCAUUACACUGCAUCAUAAAAUCUAAGGCCCCAUGUGAGUAUACUCGUGGCAUAAAACCCAUAAGUACAUUCACUGUGGUGGCGUAAAAAUAAAAUAAAUAUAUUCCUGUCCUAUAAAAAUGAAAAUAUAAAAAUAAAUUUAUGAUCCUACCAAAGAGAGUAAUAUUGAUUAAAGGAAGCUCAACAUGAUAAAGGCUAGAUAUUUAUGCUAACACUUAACUAGUUCCACAAAGCUUUGUUGUCUAUUUGAGCUCCACAGAAUUCAAGGAUCAAAGAAGACUAGCAGACGGAGGAUAUCCUAAUUGCUGUCAGGGUGCUGCCGACAUUCAAAUACACCUCCGCCACCUGCUAGCUACAUCAGAAGAAAUUACGUCAAAAUCCAGCUUGGGGGAGAGCACCCCCAUUUAUCCAGCUAAGUAUUUCUAUCUACGUUUAUACUUAUGCUUUAUUAAAAUAAUAAAAAGAUGCAUAAUCAUAAAAACCGAAAUAAAGAUUUUAUGCUUAUAUAUAUAUAUAUAUAUCUUUUCUUAGUUUGCUAAAUAAAUAAAUAAAUAAAGUUUGCUAUGAACCCUCAUGAUAAGCUCUCACAUGGAAAUGAUGAAUAAUUGCUCUGCCAUGACUAGUUCUCAAAAUUGAAAUCUCUCUCAAAUUUAGGCAUUACUGUUAUGAAUUAAGAUUUGCUCUAAACCUGAACUUGUGGGAAGAGUACUUGAUCUAAAGUCUAAGUCGUUAACGGAUAUGAUACGGGAAGGUUGAGAUGCUGUUUAUCUGUUCCUAGAGAUGCUAGAAUUCUGGAGAAUUCUAUCUUUGAAAAUCUUUAAAAUGUUGCAUGAUGAGUUCCUGUAUGAUGAGAGUUUAAAAUCCUACCACAGCCAUAUAUACAUGCUUAUUAGACUAUGAACCAUACAUUUACUUUUUACUGCUUAUGAGCAUUGAGUGUGGUCAAGCUGUGUAGACCCUUAGGAGCUUGUCAUGCGGUUAAAAUCAAGAUUCACUUGCAUGUUCACCCAUACAUGCUGCUUCUACUCUGGAAGUACGCAUCCACAUACAUCCACUGCUUUCCAUCUCUAGAUUCACCCAAAAUUAUUCUACUCCUAUCCGGGAGAGAAUAGCCAAAAAUAUUAUCCUAUCCCUGUUAUUCUCUGUGAAAUAAAUGCUCUUGAUAUUUUGGUUACUACCACUUGCUACAUUAAUCUAGGAGGGUGAGUGCUCUGAAAAAAAGAAGAAGAAGAAGAAAAAAUAAUAAUAAUACGAGGAAAUAAAAAGGGGCAAGUGCCCGGAACCUCGAAGAAAAGAAAAAGUGAGACGAGAGGUAAAAAUGGACAAGUGUCCGACAGUAGAAUUAGGGGUACAGGAUACCCACCUCAGAGAAAAGAAAAAGAAAAUAUAGAGCAUCUCAUUCCCCUCAAAAAGUAUCAAAAAUGCAAGAAAGGUAUGUAUCCCCUCAAAAGAGCAAAAGUAGAAUUAGACUUUCACCAAUGUUUUCACCAAUAUCACCAUCAUCACCAUACACCAUUCAUUCGCCACACAUGCACAUCUUGAUUUGACUUAUUGACUUGUUUCUCUGGAUCCAUGGUUUGACUAUGCAAUAAAUGUCUUGUAAGUAUGUAUUAGCUGUCUCCCACCUAUGAGCUCCAGAUAUCAAAACCUUGUUAGAGUAGGGUGAGAGAGAAGGCAAUAUCAUUAUGCCUCAUACCACAAAUACCACAUACUUUGAGAGAAGGCAUAUAUCAUCACUGCCUUGGUAAGGAUCCAGAAAUACCACAAAAGAGAGACUAGAGAGAGUCAUACAAGGAAUCUCUGAGUUUUAUUUGAAAAUCUGCAAAAACUCCAGAGCUAUAGUUGAUCAAGAACAAGAGACAUGGUGCUUGACUUGACCGUUCUAUCUUUUAACUGCUCAAGACAUAAGUGACGGUUGCAAGCCCCAUGGUGGAAGGUAAUAUGAGUAAGUUUAAAUCUUAACAAUUUACCCUAACCAAGAGAUGAGAUCUUAUUUAAAUGCAUGUGUACCUUUAAGGCAUAAAACCACUGUAGAAACUCUUGAGUCCAUCCUUGCUCAGGGACGAGCAAGAGGUAAGUUUGGGGGAGUUGUUGACGGUCCUUAAGUACCAAAUCUAAUCAGCAAAUAAACAAAGAAAAGGAUCCAAAUACAACCAACAUCUAAACUUAGGGUUUUAUCUAACAGAAUUCCACAAGUUUUGGUGUUUGUCUAUUUCUGCAGGGGGUUAUCAGGAAAUACGGAAGAAAGGCCCACACGUCGGGUUUACAUAGAGAUAUUAACGUGCCGCGCAAUUUUCUAUCAUCUAGAAGACUCCAGAAGCCACGUGAUAUGACCAUGCCAGCAAGCAAUAUGUCACAAGCUCCAAGUCCAGCAAGCAAGAUGUCACAAGCUCCGAGUCAAGCUACAACCACUCAAGUUUUACCUACACCGACACCAGCCCAAAUCAUCGAUGGACCGGUUACACGUAGUCGUGCAAAGAAGCUACAACAAGAGGUCCACGCGCUACUUUGUGAGAUUCAUUUUAAUGUUAAUGAGAAUUAUAUUCUACCUAAGUGUUCUACCUUGAUUGUACUCAGGUAUAUAGAAGAAAAGAAGGAUUAAUGGGACCCUAAAGAACGAACCAGUGCAAGUCCUAGAAGACACAUCAAAAACGGACCAGUUGAAGUCAAAAACGGACCAGUGCAAAGAAAUCUUCAUAACUUUUUAAUCACAAAAGCUAUGAAGGCUCAUGAGGACUUGUUGGAAAGCUUGUCGAGUCUACUUUCUAAUGAAUCUAGUGGCGACCAGUUUGGAUACUCCAUAUUGCCUGUAGACCAGAAUUAGUACAGACUGCUCAGAAGGUCAACAGUUUGUCGUGACAGAAUGUUGGCACAACUUUCUAUGCAAAACUGUACCAAUCUACAACGUUUCAUGGUGCAUGGCAUACAUUGCUGUAAAGCUCUUCGAGUCUAGUUUCACACCAGAGAAACGGUUCGUCAUUUGGAGUUUCCAAUUAAAAGUUAUGGUCAAUUUAUUGGAAACUGCUCUGGAGGCCAACAGUCACGCGAAGCCACUUCGGGAAUCCAUUUCGAAGGGACCUUUCACAUUGCCUUCUCUCAGAAACUCUAUUUUGUUUUCAUACCUAUCUAGCAGGGCUGUUGCUAGUAUAAAUAUCCCCUACCUCUAAGCUAUCAGCAAUCUUUGAUCAUUUGAUAAACUACAUGAUAUUGCAGCCGUGCUGCUGAGUGCCUUACUCAACCUUUGUUCUUCUUUGUUCUUCUUGGACUUGUGAAGAGAAUCCUCUGGGUUCCCCUACUUCGUGCUCUACGGCUACCGUUCGGCUGCGCCGUAUUGUGUGGAUUAGUUCCGGAUUGUGGUUCUGCGGUCGUUCGGAGAUCGAGUCGAAGUCUUCGUGGUUUCGGUGCCUCUCUCCCCGUCGCUUGGUCGCAUCCAACCUUUGUCAGGUAUAAAGCUAGUUACCCGCUGUUCGCAGCAAGUUAUCCUUGUUCUUUUGAUCUACUGUCGUGAAGAUCGGGCCACCCUCGUAUCAAUUCAUAUCGGUAACCUAUCAACUGGUAUCAAAGCUUUCGUUGUCACGGUAGAUCUCAUAAUCAUCCACAUAUCUACCUUUAGUUUAUCUAUUGUUUGUUACUGUUUUGUUCAUCACCUACAGUCCACUGAAAAGCCACAAAAAAAUCCUAGAGCCCUUUGACGGUACUGUUAUCUUGUGUUUUAUGUUCAUCAAGUUGCUAGUCACCAUCUUUACAUAUAUUGUGUUGUGUUUCAUUUGUUAUCCGUACCCCUGUUAAGAUAGAAAAAGAGUUCAAAAAAAUCAGAAAAAAUUCAGAGAAAAGAAAAGAGAAAGAACAGAAAAGUAGAAGAAGAGGAAGUUGUAUUGCGGUUUGCUUGCUGAAAAAUUCAGUUUACAUAUUCAUAUUCUUGGAGAUUUAUAUACCAGCAACAUUAUAUCAUUUGAGCACAUCAAAUCACUUGAUUUUCAGUACCGUAGCAUUCCUUGUUUAGCCACCUAUAGCUCCACACCAGGACAUUCGACUCAUAAUCCUUGCGACCUCGGAAUCACUUCUGUUGAGCCGCUACACUAGCACAAUUCACUAUCCUUGAGAACAGGAAAGAGCAUUGGUAAGUAAGAGGUGAGAUUGUGUGAUUUCAUAAAUUUACCCAUUCCACUAUAUCUUGCAUAAGUGCUAACAUGCCAGGAUUCAAUUCGAGCGUUCGUGGUGGUCGAUAUGGAGAAAAAGAAACAUCAGUUUCGCGGGCUGAGUUACGCCAACUACAAAACUCACUAGUGGAGGCCAUGGAGAAGAUGUUUGAUGAACGUCUUCCUUUGGUGCGCGGUCGCACUAAACAACAUAGCUCAGCCAACUCUCGCCGUGGUCUCUUUGGCCACAGUGGACAACAUGGAGGAGGUGCUCAUGGGCAUAGCAUUCGCCCCCGUGUGCUCAUUGAUGAUGAAGAUUACUGUGUGUCCCCCAAAAGAAAAAUUCAGCAAGAGUGCCACCAACCAAAAUUGAGUGAGAGAAAUCAAAAGGAAAAGAUGAGACAUUCCACCAUACGUGAGAAAGAGUGGCACCAACCAAAAUUCAGUGAGAGAGUUCAAAAUAAGAAGAUGAGAGAUUCCACAAUAUUUGAGGAGAGCCACAAAACUCUAUGUGAGAGUGAUCCACAAAAAUUGAGAGAAAAAAGAGAUGAAUCAUGUGAGAAAUUAUUUACUUCUAACAUCAUAAUACCUUCUAUUCUUGUUCCUUUUGCGAUGCAGGUUCAUGAAGAAAAUGAUGUUGUGAAUUAUGAUCAGCCCCCAAUCUUCGAUGAGGAAGAACAAGUGAUUGUCAAUGACAACGAUACACAUGCAUAUGUGGCUUCACAAGACGUUGAAGUAAUUGUGCAUCAAAACCUAUGUGAGAAUGAGAGCCACAUUGCCAAAAUGAGAGAGAGUGAAGACAAAGGAGAGUGGAGUGAUUCCACCCACUAUAAGAUUGAGAGUGUCAACAAUGAGAGUGUGAGGGAUACACCACAGAAAAAUAGAUAUUUAGAAUGCAGGCCAAGUGAGAAUAUCUUUGAAACUAACACUCUCAUCUCUACUUCUAGUUUUGUCUUUCCAAAUGUGCAGAUUGGUGAUGAGAAUAGGGAAGAGAUGGAUGCUCAAGACAACACCAUACUUGUUGAGAGAAAUCAGAAGGUAGACAUUCAACUAAACCCAUUGUGUGUUGCCCAAAACCUAAACCAUGACAUGGAUAACGGUAAUAUUUCAGAGGUGCAAUCGUUGGUACUUGCACCACCAAAAAGUCUAAAAGUUAUUGAAAAUAAAUCAGAUUUGAGUUUGCAAAAUAAAAUGGCAUGUAAUUAUGAUAAUACACAUGGUUUAAAUGAGAUUAACCAUACACGAAAUAUUUGCACUGAUUUGAUUAUUUCACAUGUUCACCCGUGUGCUGAAAUUUUGCAAGUUGAUAACCAAAGUUCAAUCAUACAUGAUCUUUUCUAUGGUUUGAUAUGGUUCAUGUACAUGAUGAUUUGCAUUCACAUGUGUGAUACGAUGCAUUAUGUUUCAAUACUCAUACAUCUUAGAGAUGGCUGCACAUUUGUCAACCCUUUAGUUAAUUCAUCAAAACCAUCUAAGAUCAACAAUGAAGGUAAAAAUUCGGAGAUUCAAACCUUGGUACAUAUAGAAUCAUUGGAUUUAAAAUACAUGAAAAAUAAAUCAAAUCUGAUUGUUCAACGCAUACUGAGUACUUGUGAUAUCACUGUUUCAGCAAUAAAACAUGACCAAAAUAUUUGUGCUGAUUUGACUCGAACUCAUGUUGAUACAAGUGCUGAGUUUCUUUUUGAUGAGAGUCUUUGUGCUUUGAAUAAUCCUUGCAAAACUUCAUAUAACAACAAACAACACCUCAUCGAGUCGGUUAGUUAUGCUGAUUUGUUUACAAGGAUAUCUCCUCUUGAAUGUUUGUGGUAUACUAUGCUUAACAUGCCUAUCAAUAUCGAACAAAUGCUAGAGAAAAUUUCUAACAUAACAUCUUUGAGUUCAAUGAAUACUAAUAGCUUCCAGUUUACAUUUGUCUUGAUUGGAGAACAUGUUGUAGAUACCUUCCAGGUUCAUGCAAUUUGUGUAACAUAUAACAAGCUUGCUGAUUUAGACUCAACAAUGUUGAGAGAUAAACAAAGUGAGAAAUCUUUUAAGAUGCAACAAAUGCUUGGUGCUUAUGGUUUCGAUCAAUUCAUGUUGUCAGCAUGUUCGUACCAUCCACUUAAAGAUAGAAAUCUUGUGCAAAGCAAAGCCUAUACACCGAAAAGUUAUUCAUCCACACCUUGGAGCAUUGAGUUUAAAAAUUAUACUUCUAAACCAUUGAAUAAAUUUUGCUGCCACAAUAAUUUUUGGAAUAACAUUAGUUCUCAACAUCCAUUUGAUGAAAAGUUUGAUCUUCUAAAGAUAAAACAUGACAACAUGAAUCAAAUGAUUGGAUUGGAAGAAAUUUUUGUGCUACCAUCCUCUAAACUGUUUGCAGGUUCACCAAAGUUGAGAGAAUGUUUCUUACAUGGAAAAGGAAAUAAUGCAAAAAUAAUUCAAAAUGAAACAAAUGAACAGAACAAAAGGAAUGAUUAUUGGAAUUAUCAAGUACGUCCACCCUCUAUUUUGUCUAAGCUGUUUUCAGGUAAACAAAAGUCGUGGACGACUUUUCUUGAAGGGAGGGAGGAUGAUGAGACCAUACCAAGGCAAUCUACAUUCAAGCAUCCACUCAAGGUGAAAGCUAAACUUAAUUCCAAAUCAUUUAGGUUUCCACAUACAAGGCUACUACUUGGUUUAUAUGAUUAUAGAUUCAAACACCUUGCUAUCAUGGAACAAGAAGAUUGCGAUGUUAUCACAACAUUACAAACCGAUGGCCUAGCACAACUAUUUGGAUCAGAAGAGUUAGAGUCGAGGACGACUCCUUUUCAAGAGGGGGAGAAUGAUAUGACCAUGCCAGCAAGCAAGAUGUCACAAGCUCCAAGUCCAGCAAGCAAUAUGUCACAAGCUCCAAGUCAAGCUACAACCACUCAAGUUUUACCUACACCGACACCAGCCCAAAUCAUCGAUGGACCGGUUACACGUAGUCGUGCAAAGAAGCUACAACAAGAGGUCCACGCGCUACUUUGUGAGAUUCAUUUUAAUGUUAAUGAGAAUUAUAUUCUACCUAAGUGUUCUACCUUGAUUGUACUCAGGUAUAUAGAAGAAAAGAAGGAUUAAUGGGACCCUAAAGAACGAACCAGUGCAAGUCCUAGAAGACACGUCAAAAACGGACCAGUUGAAGUCAAAAACGGACC